AUAUAAGUGUAAUAGUGUGUAUAGAUAUUAGAAAAUUUCCUAAGUACCAUGUAAACAUGUUUUAUAGGCUUUAAGAAUCAAUAGAGGCCAAAUAUAUGUGGCAAUAGAAAAGACAGAAUUGUGUUUAAGAGCAGUGAAUAUGGGAGGUCAGCAAGAGAGGGAGAGAAUGCAGGAAGAGAAUGCACUGGAAUGAAGAUUUCAAGAGAGAUAGGAUUUGGCUGGGUUGAUAGAAAAGGAAAAGAUAUAUGUUGGAAUGGAAUCUGUUUUUUCAACCAUUAUUAACUGGAGCCAAUGGGCAUAAAGGACAUAAGAACAAGCUCUGGAAUCACAUUGCCUUAGUUCAAAUACCAGCUCAACAACAUGUUGACAGAAUGAUACUUUAAAAAAUUAUUUAAUUUCUCACAAUUGUCAUAAAUUUAUCUGAAAAAUUAUUCUUGGUGUUAUUAUUAAUCUAUUAUGUAAACUAGCUCACUACCUAGAUAUAGAUCUAAACAAAUAAAACAUUGUUCUUGCUUUCAGAGGGCUUACAAUUAGAACAGAAUUUGAGCCAGGGCAGGAUUGGGGCAGGGGAGAGACGAACGUGUAAAUGAACUGUAUCUGGAAAUUCAAAAUCACUGCCCCUCUUCCCGUGAAGGGAUACAAGAUUAUCAAGACAAUAUAUUUUAUGGCCCAUCCUACCACCUAUCACCUAUUCUGGGGUAUGAAAGUGAAAAAGUGCAAGUGUUAGCCAUUCAUGUCAGACUCCUUGCAAUCCCACGAACUGUAGCCUUCCAGGCCUGCCAGGCUCCUCUGUAUGCUGCUGCUGCUGCUGCUGCUAAGUCGCUUCAGUCGUGUCCGACUCUGUGCGACCCCACAGACGGCAGCCCAUCAGGCUCCACCGUCCCUGGGAUUCUCCAGGCAACAACACUGGAGUGGUUUGCCAUUUAAAUAUCAAUUAGCACAUGUUGUUUGAUAGUGUUCUUUAGAUUU
rnacentral:lncRNA from 1 species